rnacentral:rRNA from 1 species
CUGCGGCAGCGACGCUGAUGCGUUGUUGGGUAGGGGAGCGUUCUGUAAGCCUGUGAAGGUGUGUCGUGAGGCAUGCUGGAGGUAUCAGAAGUGCGAAUGCUGACAUAAGUAACGAUAAAGCGGGUGAAAAGCCCGCUCGCCGGAAGACCAAGGGUUCCUGUCCAACGUUAAUCGGGGCAGGGUGAGUCGACCCCUAAGGCGAGGCCGAAAGGCGUAGUCGAUGGGAAACGGGUUAAUAUUCCCGUACUUGGUGUUACUGCGAAGGGGGGACGGAGAAGGCUAUGUUGGCCGGGCGACGGUUGUCCCGGUUUAAGCGUGUAGGUGUGUGUUCCAGGUAAAUCCGGUUCACUUUAACACUGAGGCGUGAUGACGAGGCACUACGGUGCUGAAGCAACAAAUGCCCUGCUUCCAGGAAAAGCCUCUAAGCAUCAGGUAACAUCAAAUCGUACCCCAAACCGACACAGGUGGUCAGGUAGAGAAUACCAAGGCGCUUGAGAGAACUCGGGUGAAGGAACUAGGCAAAAUGGUGCCGUAACUUCGGGAGAAGGCACGCUGACACGUAGGUGAAGUGAUUUACUCAUGGAGCUGAAGUCAGUCGAAGAUACCAGCUGGCUGCAACUGUUUAUUAAAAACACAGCACUGUGCAAACACGAAAGUGGACGUAUACGGUGUGACGCCUGCCCGGUGCCGGAAGGUUAAUUGAUGGGGUCAGCGCAAGCGAAGCUCCUGAUCGAAGCCCCGGUAAACGGCGGCCGUAACUAUAACGGUCCUAAGGUAGCGAAAUUCCUUGUCGGGUAAGUUCCGACCUGCACGAAUGGCGUAAUGAUGGCCAGGCUGUCUCCACCCGAGACUCAGUGAAAUUGAACUCGCUGUGAAGAUGCAGUGUACCCGCGGCAAGACGGAAAGACCCCGUGAACCUUUACUAUAGCUUGACACUGAACAUUGAGCCUUGAUGUGUAG